rfam:Anolis carolinensis chromosome 2, whole genome shotgun sequence.
GAGUAUACCUUCCCUGCUAAUUAAAAGCAUCAGAUCCUGUCCAAUCUUGGAAGCUAAGUAGGGUCAGCCCUGGUUAGUACUUGGAUGGAAAACUACCAAGGAGUAUCAGGAGCUGUAAGCU